UACGUAGGGGGCAAGCGUUAUCCGGAUUUACUGGGUGUAAAGGGAGCGUAGACGGCAUGGCAAGCCAGAUGUGAAAUACCGGGGCUCAACCCCGGGACUGCAUUUGGAACUGUUAAGCUGGAGUGUCGGAGAGGCAGGCGGAAUUCCUAGUGUAGCGGUGAAAUGCGUAGAUAUUAGGAGGAACACCAGUGGCGAAGGCGGCUUGCUGGACGAUAACUGACGUUGAGGCUCGAAAGCGUGGGGAGCAAACAGG
rnacentral:rRNA from 1 species